GUCAACGACUUCCUAUACAUGCAGUUCGAGCGAACAGAAGGGGAGCUUGCUUCCCGGAUGUUAGCGGCGGACGGGUGAGUAACACGUGGGUAACCUGCCUGUAAGACUGGGAUAACUCCGGGAAACCGGAGCUAAUACCGGAUAGUUCCUUGAACCGCAUGGUUCAAGGAUGAAAGACGGUUUCGGCUGUCACUUACAGAUGGACCCGCGGCGCAUUAGCUAGUUGGUGGGGUAAUGGCUCACCAAGGCGACGAUGCGUAGCCGACCUGAGAGGGUGAUCGGCCACACUGGGACUGAGACACGGCCCAGACUCCUACGGGAGGCAGCAGUAGGGAAUCUUCCGCAAUGGACGAAAGUCUGACGGAGCAACGCCGCGUGAGUGAUGAAGGUUUUCGGAUCGUAAAGCUCUGUUGUUAGGGAAGAACAAGUGCGAGAGUAACUGCUCGCACCUUGACGGUACCUAACCAGAAAGCCACGGCUAACUACGUGCCAGCAGCCGCGGUAAUACGUAGGUGGCAAGCGUUGUCCGGAAUUAUUGGGCGUAAAGGGCUCGCAGGCGGUUUCUUAAGUCUGAUGUGAAAGCCCCCGGCUCAACCGGGGAGGGUCAUUGGAAACUGGGAAACUUGAGUGCAGAAGAGGAGAGUGGAAUUCCACGUGUAGCGGUGAAAUGCGUAGAGAUGUGGAGGAACACCAGUGGCGAAGGCGACUCUCUGGUCUGUAACUGACGCUGAGGAGCGAAAGCGUGGGGAGCGAACAGGAUUAGAUACCCUGGUAGUCCACGCCGUAAACGAUGAGUGCUAAGUGUUAGGGAGGUGUCCGCCCCCUUAGUGCUGCAGCUAACGCAUUAAGCACUCCGCCUGCGGAGGUAGGUUCGCAAGACUGA
rnacentral:rRNA from 1 species